CAACUUAUGAUUAUCUUCUAAUAUUUUUUAUAAUAAAUUUCUUGAUUUUUUUUCAAAGUUCCUUAUGAUUGAGCACUUUCUUGAUUACAGAAGCCAAAGUCAGCUCAAGACUCACCCCCACAAUCUAGGUCUUAGAGGAUCGGGUCCACAUUUCUUGAUUUGGAGGACCUAACUGAGAAUGGGUUUUAAGAAAGAAAUCAAGAAAAUAUGAAUCAGGGUCGGUUCUUAAUUCAGGCAGCUGAACUGAAAAAGACGAGGGAAAUUAUGGGUUUUAGCUGAGAAGUGAUAAAACCAGGGAGAAUCAUGGGUUUCAACACUAAAUUCGUUCCUAAGUCAUGAAAUAGAUUCUUAGGAAAAUCGAGGCUUCCAACAGGACAGUCGACAGGCAGCGUUAUAGUUCUCAUGGAUUCUUUAUUGUUUACGAUUUGGCUGCCAUCGCGGAACGAAAUCUCUCUCUCUCUCUCUCUCUCUCUCUCUCCCACUUUUCU
rnacentral:lncRNA from 1 species